rnacentral:rRNA from 1 species
GUUAGGAAUAUUGGACAAUGGGCGCAAGCCUGAUCCAGCCAUGCCGCGUGAACGAUGAAGGCCUUCGGGUUGUAAAGUUCUUUAGCCGAUGAUUAUAAUGACUGUAGUCGGAAAAUAAGCCCCGGCUAACUUCGUGCCAGCAGCCGCGGUAAUACGAAGGGGGCGAGCGUUAUUCGGAAUCACUGGGCGUAAAGCGUGCGUAGGCGGUCUCGUAAGUUAGGAGUGAAAGCUCAGGGCUCAACCUUGGAAUUGCUCUUAAAACUGCAAGGCUAGAAUCUCGGAGAGGAUAGCGGAAUUUCCAGUGUAGCAGUGAAAUGCGUAGAUAUUGGAAGGAACACCAGUGGCGUAAGCGGCUAUCUGGACGAGUAUUGACGCUGAGGCACGAAAGCGUGGGGAUCAAACAGGAUUAGAUACCCGGGUAGUCC